rnacentral:rRNA from 1 species
UACGGAGGGUGCGAGCGUUGUUCGGAAUUACUGGGCGUAAAGCGCGCGUAGGUGGUUCGUUAAGUUGGAUGUGAAAUCCCCGGGCUCAACCUGGGAACUGCAUUCAAAACUGUCGAGCUAGAGUAUGGUAGAGGGUGGUGGAAUUUCCUGUGUAGCGGUGAAAUGCGUAGAUAUAGGAAGGAACACCAGUGGCGAAGGCGACCACCUGGACUGAUACUGACACUGAGGUGCGAAAGCGUGGGGAGCAAACAGG